AACGAACGCUGGCGGCAGGCUUAACACAUGCAAGUCGAACGCCCCGCAAGGGGAGUGGCAGACGGGUGAGUAACACGUGGGAACAUGCCCAAAGGUACGAAAUAUUCUCGGGAAACUGAGAGCAAUACCGUAUGUGCCCGAAAGGGGAAAGAUUUAUCGCCUUUGGAUUGGCCCGCGUCGGAUUAGCUAGUUGGUGGGGUAAAAGCCUACCAAGGCGACGAUCCGUAGCUGGUCUGAGAGGACGACCAGCCACACUGGGACUGAGACACGGCCCAGACUCCUACGGGAGGCAGCAGUGGGGAAUCUUGGACAAUGGGCGCAAGCCUGAUCCAGCCAUGCCGCGUGGAUGAUGAAGGCCCUAGGGUUGUAAAAUCCUUUCGUUGGGGACGAUAAUGACGGUACCCAAAGAAGAAGCUCCGGCUAACUUCGUG
rnacentral:rRNA from 1 species